CUGGCAGUAAACGGUGCACACUUGGUGUGGGAGGAUUCGACCCCUCCCGUGCCGGAGCUAACGCGUUAAGUGUGCCGCCUGGGAAGUACGGUCGCAAGAUUAAAACUCAAAGAAAUUGACGGGGACCCGCACAAGCGGUGGAGUAUGUGGCUUAAUUCGAUGCAACGCGAAGAACCUUACCUGGUCUUGACAUGCAUCUUGUCGUCUGUGAAAGCAGGCUAGGGUAGCAAUACCCGAUUUGCACAGGUGC
rnacentral:rRNA from 1 species